rnacentral:rRNA from 1 species
UACAGAGGGUGCAAGCGUUGUUCGGAAUUAUUGGGCGUAAUGCGCGUGUAGGCGGCUUAGCAAGUCGGGCGUGAAAGCCCUCGGCUCAACCGAGGAAGUGCACCCGAAACUGCUGAGCUUGAGUGCCGGAGAGGAUGGCGGAAUACCCCAAGUAGAGGUGAAAUUCGUAGAUAUGGGGUGGAACACCGGUGGCGAAGGCGGCCAUCUGAACGGUAACUGACGCUGAGACGCGAAAGCGUGGGGAGCAAACAGG